rnacentral:tRNA from 1 species
ACUCCUUUAGUAUUAAUUAGUACAACUGACUUCCAAUCAGUUAGUUCCAGUCUGAUCUGGAAAGGAGUA